rnacentral:tRNA from 1 species
GCUGCAGUAGCUCAGCCGGUAGAGCAACUGAUUCGUAAUCAGUAGGUCGGUGGUUCGAGUCCACUCUGCAGCACCA